rnacentral:rRNA from 1 species
GAAGCUACGGCAUCAGUAAUGAUGGGUAGGGGAGCUUCCCAUACGGGUUGAAGCAUGACCGUAAGGACAUGUGGACAGUAUGGGAGUGAGAAUGUUGGCAUGAGUAGCGAGAUGUGGGUGAGAAUCCCACAGGACGUAAACCCAAGGUUUCCAGGGGAAGGUUCGUCCGCCCUGGGUUAGUCGGGACCUAAGCUGAGGCCGAAAGGCGUAGGUGAUGGACAACAGGUUGAUAUUCCUGUACUACCGAUAACCGUUUGAGAGA